CUAGAAGGAGUGGCUUCCCCAGAAAUAUGCGCCUCAGAAGUGGGGUCCAUCCCACCUUCUUUAUGUGUUUGUCUUGGAUCUUCCUUCCAACAAAAUGUAAGCUCUUUGAGAAGAGCUUUGUCUAUCUCAUUCACCUCUAUCUACAUCCAGUGCCUAGAACAGGACCUGUCCUAUAGUGGAUACUCAAAAAACCCUUCUCAACUGAGGGUUUAGUGAGUGUUGGCAGCGGCACAGACCUGCUGAAUUAAGGAAGAUGGGGCGGGGGAGGCAACAACGCCUGGCGCUUGAAAAACAUGUUCAUCGCUGGGAAACAAUUUAAAACAGGUCAGAUUCAUCUGGCUCUAUGUCACAUUCUCUCCAGGACCCCAGCUAACAAAGCAGCCCCUUUUUGGAAUAUUGCCUGACUCUUAGCAGAGAGAGAAAAGAAAAGGGCACAGAGGAUCACAUGCUGGCUCUUCAAGCUUCUGUUCAGAAGUGAUACACAUCACUUCUGCUCAGAUUUCACGAGCUGAAGCAAGACAUGGCUAAGCCUGUAUCAAUGAAGCAGAUAAAUUUAAACCUCCGAAGUAGGGACAGCAAAUAUCUUGCGGGAUUAUGCAAUCUACAAGAGAAGAUGAUAUUAAUAAAUUUAUGAGGAUAAAUCCAUGUAACAUCUUAUGGACAUAACUUAGUGCUUAACUGUAGUAAAGACUUAUUAAAUUA